UACGUAGGUGGCAAGCGUUAUCCGGAAUUACUGGGUGUAAAGGGAGCGUAGGCGGGCAGACAAGUCAGAUGUGAAAUACCGGGGCUCAACUCCGGGGCUGCAUUUGAAACUGUAUGUCUUGAGUGUAGUAGAGGUAAGCGGAAUUCCUAGUGUAGCGGUGAAAUGCGUAGAUAUUAGGAGGAACACCAGUGGCGAAGGCGGCUUACUGGGCUAUUACUGACGCUGAGGCUCGAAAGUAUGGGUAGCAAACAGG
rnacentral:rRNA from 1 species